AGGAGAGACUCAUGGCUCCUGCUGGAUAUGUAGCAGAGGAUUGCCUUAUCUGGCAUCAAUGGGAGGACAGGCCCUUGAUCCUGUGAAGGCUUGGUGACCCAGGAUAGAGGAAUACUAGGCGGCUGAGGCCAGAGUGGAAUGAAUGUUCAACUCAGAACAACAACAAAAAGACCAGAAAGACAAUGGAAAGAACUCCAAAUGCACCAGACCCACCCAGAAAUGCAUGAACUUAAAUUGAAUAAAAAUUCUGUUCUUAACUGAAACAGGGGGUUAU